CAGAUGCGUUCAGCCCCCUAGGAAAUCGUUGCACAUCUAUAUUCUAUAUAAACAAUCGUAUGGUAGUAGUUGUGCAUUUGUGUGUAUGUGUGUGUGUAUGCAGAUAGUGCGCCAAAAGCUUUACGCUAUCGCUAUGAAAAUGAAAAUAAACAGCUGCACACACAUACACACACACACACACAUACAGAGACACCUACUCAUAUAUGUAUGUAUUUAUAAAGAGUUGCCUGCAUUAGAAACAAAAAGUAGACAGCUCAACGCUUUGCGUUUCUAAUCAUCGCACAAUUGCAUUUGAAGGACACGAGAGCACUGAGCACGUUAGGGCAGCUCGGCAGGGGCUGCCGGGGCGUGGCCAGCGCGAAUUGUAUGAAAAAUUUACUUAGAGUGGCGCAGCAAAUUAAAAAUAAAUAAGUGGCACACACACACAUACCCAUACACACAGACACAGUGUCACGAACGCAUUCCGUGCUCAAGUCCGAAGACGAAGCAAUUUAUACCCUUUAGUUGCUGAGAGAAUUGAGCAGAGAAUGCAUGGAAAUGUAUAAAAAAUUUAAGUAAAAUAUUUUAAAUAUUUAAAUACAUAAUAAUAUAACAUAAUACAUAAUUCAUAUAAAGUAUUUUCUAUUUUCUUUUGGCCCUGUUACAUGUUCAUUCCACUCAUUAAUAUACCCCAUUUGCAUUUAGUUUUUUGUGUUGAGUGAACCUUUAGAAAAUUGUCAACGGCAGCGCUUCGCUUGCCUGCAUUGAGUUUAACAUUCAACUUGAACGCAGGCGACCCGCUGGCGUUGCCAACGUCAUCGUCAUCGGCAGAGUCUCCGAGUGCAUUUGAAUUUUGAUAAGCUUUGCACAUUGCGCAUACGCCGUGUGCGCUGCGGCCGACAAUGCUCUAAUACACAUUGCAUAUAUAUGUACUUAUAAUGGGUAUAUACUAUAUAUAUUUGUGUAUGCAUUUCUAUAUACUGUGAAAAACUUCCGCAACGCCGUCAACGCUGCUGCAUCGAUCUUUAUCAAAUUGCAAUGGGGAAGCGUUGCAAAACGAACGAAACAAAAUGCAACAACAUCAACAAAAACAAUAACAAUAAAAACCAAAUGGCGAUAUUUCGAUUCAAGGACAAGUGCGCGAUAGGCAACGCAAACUGUACUAACCGCAGACCCAUAUACUACCUAUAUAUGUAUAUACAUUUAUAUAUAUGCUGAUAAGUGUAACAAAUGCCAUAAAAUGUCCGCUCCUAAAUAAGAUAUAUGCACAACUAUUGCCAUCUCGCUCACACCAGCUGGGGGCGUCAGGGCUCAGCGGGUGGCCUUGCGUCUAUUGCACUAUCUAGGAAAUCUACGCAUAUCGACGUUAAGUAGUCUCAAUGAAUAAACAAAUUUUACGAUGUAUUUAUAA